GUCAAGUGUUGAAUUAAGCGGGAGAGGUUUGGAGUCUCCAUCCCCGAAGAUUGGGCAGGGACCUGAGCAAGGUGCCCCAGCUCUGAGGUCCAACCCAUCCCGAGGUUUUUGGGAGCUCCAGGAUCCCCCAUUUCUGCCCAGAGCCUUUUUCUCUCUGCAGGAAGAGAAAGGAGGGAGGGAAAGGCAAAUAUUCCAGUUGUGUUCUUGGGUGUGUCCUGGUCCUUGCUGCUAGUUUUUUCAGGAAUUGCUCGGGACGGAAUCGGCACAGGAGAGCAGCACGGAUGGAAGAACAAACACCGGAAUGCUGAGGGCGUGGGAUGGAGCGGGUGAGGGAGGACUCCCGAGGCAGGACACGAUUCCUGAGGCAGAACACUAUUCUUGAGGCAGGACAGACACAAUUCCAGAGGCAGGACAGACACAACUCCAGAGGCAGGGCAGACACAACCCCCCCCCCCCCCCCCCCCCCCCCCCCCCCCCCCCCCCCCCCCCCCCCCCCC
rnacentral:lncRNA from 12 species